rnacentral:rRNA from 1 species
GACGAACGCUGGCGGCUUGCUUAACACAUGCAAGUCGAACGGUGAACCUCUUCGGAGGGGCUCAGUGGCGAACGGGUGAGUAACACGUGGGCAACCUGCCCCCGUCUCUGGGAUAACUCCAAGAAAUUGGGGCUAAUACCGUAUGUUCACCGCUUCCCGCAUGGGUGUUUGUGGAAAGAUUUUUCGGCUUUGGAUGGGCCCUCUUCCUAUCAGCUUGUUGGUAGGGGAAAAGCCUACCAAGGCGACGACGGGGAGCUGGUCUGGGAGGAUGACCAGCCACGCUGGGACUGAGACACGGCCCAGACUCCGACGGGAGGCAGCAGUGGGGUAUAUUGGGCAAUGGGCGAAAGCCUGAUCCAGCAAUGCCGCGUGAGUGAUGAAGGCCUUAGUGUUGUAAAGCUCUUUUACCCGAGAUGAUAAUGACGGUACCGGGAGAAUAAGCACCGGCUAACUCCGUG